GCGGCAGGCUUAACACAUGCAAGUCGAACGCGAAAUCACCUUCGGGUGGUGGAGAGUGGCAGACGGGUGAGUAACGCGUGGGAAUCUACCUGAUGGUACGGAAUAACUCAGGGAAACUUGAGCUAAUACCGUAUGUGCCCGAAAGGGGAAAGAUUUAUCGCCAGCAGAUGAGCCCGCGUCGGAUUAGCUAGUUGGUGGGGUAACGGCCCACCAAGGCGACGAUCCGUAGCUGGUCUGAGAGGAUGAUCAGCCACACUGGGACGGAGACACGGCCCAGACUCCUACGGGAGGCAGCAGUGGGGAAUAUUGGACAAUGGGCGCAAGCCUGAUCCAGCCAUGCCGCGUGAGUGAUGAAGGCCCUAGGGUUGUAAAGCUCUUUCGGCGGGGACGAUAAUGACGGUACCCGCAGAAGAAGCCCCGGCUAACCUCGUGCCAGCCGCCGCGGUAA
rnacentral:rRNA from 1 species